GAUGAAGAACGAAGCGAAAUGCGAUAAGUAAUGUGAAUUGCAGAAUUCAGUGAAUCAUCGAAUCUUUGAACGCACAUUGCGCCCGCCAGUAUUCUGGCGGGCAUGCCUGUUCGAGCGUCAUUUCAACCCUCAGGCCCCCAGUGCCUGGUGUUGGGGAUCGGCCCAGCCUUCCUGUAAGGCCGCCGGCCCCGAAAUCUAGUGGCGGUCUCGCUGUAGUCCUCCUCUGCGUAGUAGCACAACCUCGCAGUUGGAACGCGGCGGUGGCCAUGCCGUUAAACACCCCACUUCUGAAAGUUGACCUCGGAUCAGGUAGGAAUACCCGCUGAACUUAAGCAUAUCAAAAGCGGAGGA
rnacentral:misc_RNA from 1 species